ensembl:lncRNA
GGUAGAAAGAAUUUGUAACUCAUUUGUUAGGCUAUUAGUGUUGAGCUUCUCCAUAUUUAGUUGUGUGGAUUUUCAGUAGCAAACUCAUAUGUUCACUUAGACUAUAUUAGAAAGUGUGAACUUUAGAUUUACUCCACCCUGCUUAGCCUAGCAAUCAGGAAUGUAUACACCCCUACUUAAGGAUUAAGUGUUGAGAAGGAGGGCCUACGACAGACAUGUGCUAGCAAGUGAUAAAUCAGAAACAACUGACAGAUCCCCUGGGCUGUCCUGUCAAGCUUAAGCUACCAUUGGUACAUCUGAGACACAGGAAAUGAUAUAAAAAACGGUCUAUAUAUUUUGUGUCACUUGCUCUUUCCAACCUCUUUUCACAGAGAGGUGGCUCUGACUCUUUUUUUUUUGCAGCGGAGAUGUGGCUGGUGGCAGCAUGCUGGGCAUCUUGGCAUUUUGGCGUUCUUGCAGCUCUUGUCCAGGAUUGGUGUGAGCAUGCUAGGGAUAGGUUUUGGCCUGAUGAGAACCCCCUGCCAGGAAAGCCCUCCUAUUGUCAUCAAAGGAAUGAGUAAAAACAAUCAUCAUAGAACCCGAAGAGGUGAGCUCCCCAGGUUUGGACCACUUCAAACCCUAGAGCUGGGCAUAGGACAAAAGAUGAGAUGGUGAUAUUUAGAAAUCUUCUUGAAUUGAGAAUCAAAGACCAGACCUGAAUUGGACUACAAGCAAGCAUGUUUUCAGAGAGCUAGACUCAGAGCCAGGAAGGCAUAGGUCCAAGGACUGACUCUGAUCCACACUGGGUUAUACUCUCAGUGUUUCAGGAAAUUCUUUAUUAUGAUAAGUUACAGAUGUAUUGUCUAUCUGUAUUAUCAGAAGGAGUUUCUUUUACCAGAGAAAUCCUAUGACUCUUCCCAUUUUCCUAUACUGUAGAAAAUCGAGUAUAGCUAUCUCAACCAAUGGAUCUCAAAGGCUAUGUCAAAGCAUAUUAACCUGGAGGUGCACUUCAAAUUGUAUGUGACCUACAUUUGGGACACAGUUGUGUGUGUAAGUAUGCCAACUAUGCUUUACUAUGAUGUGAGCAAAGACAUUUGAAAACCUCUGAUCUAGUUGGACCUCUUCAUCCUAUUUGAAAAAUUUAUCCUUCUGGCUAUAGAGACCUGUGAUGUUAAGAUACUUUUUCUUUAAAAGUUGAUGCAGAACCCACAUUUAUUGCUAUUUUGCUUGUUCUGAGUAGAUAGUAAGGCCAUGUUGGAAUGUUCAUCAAAGCACCUCCAAAAAAGUGAUAUAGAGAUAUAACAGAAAAGGUUGCUAAUUUAUAGUCCAGAAGACCCGAGAGUUCAGAUCCUGUCUCAGACACUUAUUACCAACUGACCCCUUUCCUCACCUACUAAAUUGGGAUAAUAAUAUCUAACUCACAGUGAUGUUAGUGGAGUACAAGUGUCAUAAGAUAUAAAAGUGCUUUGUAAACCCUAAAGUGUUAUGUAUCAUCAUCAUCAUUAUUAUUUGCUAGCUCUCCAUUGGUUAUAAGACUGAGGUCAUCUUUGUUUUUAAGUAAUGCUACAGAGGUAUGUCCAUGGCUAUUCAAAUACUGUAUAUUUGGC